AGGUUCAGCCAUGCCACCCUGAACAUGCCUGAUCUCAUCUGAUCUCAGAAGCUAAGCAGGGUCAGGCCUGGUUAGUACUUGGAUGGGAGACCACCUAGGAAGACCAAGUGCUGUAGGCU
rnacentral:rRNA from 1 species